rfam:Cryptococcus depauperatus CBS 7841 supercont1.15, whole genome shotgun sequence.
GCCCUCAUGGUGUAGUGGUAACACGAAGGUCUCAUACUUGAGUAUGAAGUCGAUUUGACUAUAAACUCGUAAUCCUCAGCUCCGAGUUCGAUUCUCGGUGAGGGCA